CACGUAGGGUGCAAGCGUUGUCCGGAAUCAUUGGGCGGAAAGAGCUCGUAGGCGGCUUAGUAAGUCGGGUGUGAAACCUCCAGGCUCAACCUGGAGACGCCACCCGAUACUGCUAUAGCUAGAGUCCAGUAGGGGAGUGCGGAAUUCCCGGUGUAGCGGUGAAAUGCGCAGAUAUCGGGAGGAACACCAGCGGCGAAGGCGGCACUCUGGGCUGGUACUGACGCUCAGGAGCGAAAGCGUGGGUAGCGAACAGG
rnacentral:rRNA from 1 species